GAGAGAGUUCAGAGUACGUGAAACCGUUCAGGGGUAAACCUGAGAAGCCCGAAAGGUCGAAUGGGGAAAUUCAUUCGCGUUUCGGCCGUCGGCGUGGGAUGGUCGAGCGACGGACGGCGUACGCGUCGUCCGCGCCUUCCGUUCUUCGAACCGGCGUCGAACGCGUGCACUUUUCCCCUAGUAGGACGUCGCGAUCCGUUGGGUGUCGGUCUACGGCUCGCGGUGGAGCCCGUGCGGUCGCUUCGCGGCGUAUCGCACGGACCCGCGGUGUCCCGGCCGACUCGCUCGACGGUAUACAGAUGGCGCGGGGCCGCUAUAGUUAGCGUUCGGCCCGCGGCAAGCGCGUUCGUCGUUUGACGGCGAUCGGACCCGGUGCCGGUCCUGUCCGCGAACGACUGUUGGCCGCGGUGUUCUCGAACAGACCUCGAAACGAAACGCCGAUCUGCGACGCUAUAGCUUUGGGUACUUUCAGGACCCGUCUUGAAACACGGACCAAGGAGUCUAGCAUGUGCGCGAGUCAUUGGGACAUAACUAAACCUAAAGGCGUAAUGAAAGUGAAGGUCCGCCUUGCGCGGAUCUAGGGAGGAUGAGCGGNUUUUUGAUGCCCUUAAAAGCGGCCGCUCCGCACUCCCGGGGCGUCUCGUUCUCAUCGCGAGAAGAGGCGCACCANGAGCGUACACGCUGGGACCG
rnacentral:rRNA from 1 species